AUUGAACGCUGGCGGAAUGCUUUACACAUGCAAGUCGAACGGCAGCACGGACUUCGGUCUGGUGGCGAGUGGCGAACGGGUGAGUAAUGUAUCGGAACGUGCCCAGUCGUGGGGGAUAACGUAGUGAAAAUUACGCUAAUACCGCAUACGAUCUAUGGAUGAAAGCGGGGGAUCGCAAGACCUCGCGCGAUUGGAGCGGCCGAUAUCAGAUUAGGUAGUUGGUGGGGUAAAGGCCCACCAAGCAAACGAUCUGUAGCUGGUCUUAGAGGACGACCAGCCACACUGGAACUGAGACACGGUCCAGACUCCUACGGGAGGCAGCAGUGGGGAAUUUUGGACAAUGAGCGAAAGCCUGAUCCAGCCAUUCCGCGUGCAGGAUGAAGGCCCUCGGGUUGUAAACUGCUUUUGUACAGAACGAAAAGGUUUCUACUAAUACUAGGAGCUCAUGACGGUACUGUAAGAAUAAGCACCGGCUAACUACGUGCCAGCCGCCGCGGUAA
rnacentral:rRNA from 1 species